rnacentral:rRNA from 1 species
CCUACGGGAGGCAGCAGUAGGGAAUGUUGCGCAAUGGGCGAAAGCCUGACGCAGCAACGCCGCGUGAACGAGACGGCCUUCGGGGUGGAAAGGUCUGUCAGGGGGGACGAAAAAGGACGGUACCCACAGAGGAAGCACCGGCUAACUCCGUGCCAGCAGCCGCGGUAAUACGGAGGGUGCAAGCGUUGUCCGGAAUCAGUGGGCGUAAAGAGUUCGUAGGCGGCCUGUAAAGUCAGGUGUUAAAGGCGCAGGCUCAACCUGUGGAUGGCACUUGAUACUUGCAAGCUGGACUGCGGUAGAGGUAACGGCAAUUCCUGGUGUCGCGGUGUACUGCUUAGAUAUCAGGA